GUAACCUGCCUCAAAGUGGGGGAUAGCCUUCCGAAAGGAAGAUUAAUACCGCAUAAAGCCAAGUUUCACAUGGAAUUUGGAUGAAAGGAGUAAUUCGCUUUGAGAUGGACCCGCGGCGCAUUAGUUAGUUGGUGGGGUAAUGGCCUACCAAGACAGCGAUGCGUAGCCGACCUGAGAGGGUGAUCGGCCACAUUGGAACUGAGAUACGGUCCAGACUCCUACGGGAGGCAGCAGUGGGGAAUAUUGCACAAUGGGCGAAAGCCUGAUGCAGCAACGCCGCGUGAGUGAUGAAGGUCUUCGGAUUGUAAAGCUCUGUCUUUUGGGACGAUAAUGACGGUACCAAAGGAGGAAGCCACGGCUAACUACGUGCCAGCAGCCGCGGUAAUACGUAGGUGGCGAGCGUUGUCCGGAUUUACUGGGCGUAAAGGGUGCGUAGGCGGAUGUUUAAGUGAGAUGUGAAAUACCCGGGCUUAACUUGGGUGCUGCAUUUCAAACUGGAUAUCUAGAGUGCAGGAGAGGAGAAUGGAAUUCCUAGUGUAGCGGUGAAAUGCGUAGAGAUUAGGAAGAACACCAGUGGCGAAGGCGAUUCUCUGGACUGUAACUGACGCUGAGGCACGAAAGCGUGGGUAGCAAACAGGAUUAGAUACCCUGGUAGUCCACGCCGUAAACGAUGAGUACUAGGUGUAGGAGGUAUCGACCCCUUCUGUGCCGCAGUAAACACAUUAAGUACUCCGCCUGGGAAGUACGAUCGCAAGAUUAAAACUCAA
rnacentral:rRNA from 1 species